GGGCCCGCACAAGCAGCGGAGCAUGUGGUUUAAUUCGACGCAACGCGAAGAACCUUACCUGGGCUUGACAUGUUCCUGACCGCCGUGGAAACACGGCUUCCCUUCGGGGCAGGAUCACAGGUGGUGCAUGGCUGUCGUCAGCUCGUGUCGUGAGAUGUUGGGUUAAGUCCCGCAACGAGCGCAACCCCCGUCGCAUGUUGCCAGCAUUAAGUUGGGGACUCAUGCGAGACUGCCGGUGACAAACCGGAGGAAGGUGGGGAUGACGUCAAGUCAUCAUGCCCCUUAUGUCCAGGGCUACACACGUGCUACAUUGGCGCGUACAGAGGGUUGCGAUACCGUGAGGUGGAGCGGAUCCCUUAAAGCGCGUCUCGGUUCGGAUUGCAGGCUGAAACUCGCCUGCAUGAAGGCGGAGUUGCUAGUAAUCGCGGAUCAGCAUUGCCGCGGUGAAUACGUUCCCGGGCCUUGUACACACCGCCCGUUACACCACGGGAGUGAGCAACACCCGAAGCCGGUGGCCUAACCCUUUUGGGAGGGAGCCGUCGAAGGUGGGGCUCGUGACUGGGGUG
rnacentral:rRNA from 1 species